rnacentral:rRNA from 1 species
CUUCGGGUUGUAAAGCCCUUUUGUUGGGAAAGAAAUCCAGCCGGCUAAUACCUGGUUGGGAUGACGGUACCCAAAGAAUAAGCACCGGCUAACUUCGUGCCAGCAGCCGCGGUAAUACGAAGGGUGCAAGCGUUACUCGGAAUUACUGGGCGUAAAGCGUGCGUAGGUGGUUGUUUAAGUCUGUUGUGAAAGCCCUGGGCUCAACCUGGGAACUGCAGUGGAAACUGGACAACUAGAGUGUGGUAGAGGGUAGCGGAAUUCCCGGUGUAGCAGUGAAAUGCGUAGAGAUCGGGAGGAACAUCCAUGGCGAAGGCAGCUACCUGGACCAACACUGACACUGAGGCACGAAAGCGUGGGGAGCAAACAGGAUUAGAUACCCUGGUAGUCCACGCCCUAAACGAUGCGAACUGGAUGUUGGGUGCAAUUUGGCACGCAGUAUCGAAGCUAACGCGUUAAGUUCGCCGCCUGGGGAGUACGGUCGCAAGACUGAAACUCAAAGGAAUUGACGGGGGCCCGCACAAGCGGUGGAGUAUGUGGUUUAAUUCGAUGCAACGCGAAGAACCUUACCUGGCCUUGACAUGUCGAGAACUUUCCAGAG